UAGGGAAUCUUCCGCAAUGGGCGAAAGCCUGACGGAACAACGCCGCGUGAGUGAUGAAGGUCUUCGGAUCGUAAAACUCUGUUAUUAGGGAAGAACAAAUGUGUAAGUAACUAUGCACGUCUUGACGGUACCUAAUCAGAAAGCCACGGCUAACUACGUGCCAGCAGCCGCGGCAAUACGUAGGUGGCAAGCGUUAUCCGGAAUUAUUGGGCGUAAAGCGCGCGUAGGCGGUUUUUUAAGUCUGAUGUGAAAGCCCACGGCUCAACCGUGGAGGGUCAUUGGAAACUGGAAAACUUGAGUGCAGAAGAGGAAAGUGGAAUUCCAUGUGUAGCGGUGAAAUGCGCAGAGAUAUGGAGGAACACCAGUGGCGAAGGCGACUUUCUGGUCUGUAACUGACGCUGAUGUGCGAAAGCGUGGGGAUCAAACAGG
rnacentral:rRNA from 1 species